CCCUGGGCCCGAGUGCCGGGCCCAAGCCGGCUAGCGAGAGGCGGGGAGUUCAGAAGACAGUUGCGUGGUGUGGGGCGCGGCGAGGGCACUACGCUCUCAGAAGCUGUCACGCCGGCCCGAUUUUCCGCGGCAGUAUAAGGAGUAGCCCCUUCGGUAGCCGGGGAGCUGGAGGGGAACCUGAUUUGAGAUCAUUUCUUGGAGAACACAAAGAAGUGUGGUGGUAUGUUCCAGGAUUGAACCAGCUGCCCUUUGACCCUGCCAACAACAACGAACCCCUGCAGUUUGGUAGUGCCAGUGGCCCUCUGGUCACAGAAGGCCUCAUUGAGAAUGGAGGGGAGUCAAGCAAGAAAAGAAAGAGAACAAAUGCUCCUUCAGGUAAGCUAGGCAAUAAUGCACUGUCUUAAGCCAGUGCUAUUGAGUCAGCAUUUUCCCAGAGCCUAGUAUGUGAUUGACACUUCGCUGGGAUUUGUAGAACCACAGAAAUGAGAAAGAGUCCCCUGCCCUCAGUGAACUCACAGUGGGGUAGAGUGGGGGGAAAACACAUACAAGAAUAACUAAUAAUGAGAUAGAGUAUCAUUGGUGAUGUGGCUAACUGUGGAAAACAGGAGGAAAAACCCUAUGGGAGCACAAAUGGGGAAGAGUAUAAUUCAGCCUUGGGCAUUGUGGAACACUUCACAGCAGAAGUGACCUUUGUAGCUGACCCUUGAAUGGGUAGGCUUGACACACACACACACAAAAAAAAGAUGAGUAAAAAACAUUGAUUUAAG